UGGGGAAUAUUGGACAAUGGGCGCAAGCCUGAUCCAGCCAUGCCGCGUGGGUGAAGAAGGCCUUCGGGUUGUAAAGCCCUUUUGUUGGGAAAGAAAAGCAGUCGGUUAAUACCCGAUUGUUCUGACGGUACCCAAAGAAUAAGCACCGGCUAACUUCGUGCCAGCAGCCGCGGUAAUACGAAGGGUGCAAGCGUUACUCGGAAUUACUGGGCGUAAAGCGUGCGUAGGUGGUUUGUUAAGUCUGAUGUGAAAGCCCUGGGCUCAACCUGGGAAUUGCAUUGGAUACUGGCAGGCUGGAGUGCGGUAGAGGGUAGUGGAAUUCCCGGUGUAGCAGUGAAAUGCGUAGAGAUCGGGAGGAACAUCCGUGGCGAAAGGCGACUACCUGGACCAGCACUGACACUGAGGCACGAAAGCGUGGGGAGCAAAACAGGAUUAGAUACCCUGGUAGUCCACGCCCUAAAACGAUGCGAACUGGAUGUUGGGUUCAAUUAGGAACUCAGUAUCGAAGCUAACGCGUUAAAGUUCGCCGCCUGGGGAGUACGGUCGCAAGACUG
rnacentral:rRNA from 1 species